UAAACUCCGCCGCCCCUAAAUGCUCUCUCUUCUUCUUCUCUUUUGUGGAAACUCUAGCACCGUCACCUAUUACCCCUCUCCGAUUCCAGCCUAAAAUGGAAUCAAUCAAUUAUUACCUUAUCUUGUUGACCCCUCUCACUCCUGGUUACUCGCUUAUGGUGUUACAUAAUUGCUUGCCUAACAUGGCAAACAGAACUCUUUAAUUUUGAACCAAAUCUGGUUCAAAUCUUUGACCUUUUUUCAUCUAUGUUCGUUCUCGUUUCUUUAUGGUAUGAAUCUCUGAGAUUCUUCGCAAUUUUCUACUUACCCUAAAACUAGGUUCAGAUCUUUCUAAAUCUAAUAUGGUUAUCGAUUCUUUAAUUAUUUUUCCUUCAAUGUUUCCGUCUAUAUUUGUUUGUGCAUCUUGUUAUAACUCUCUUUGUUAUUUGACUGAUUUUUAGUUACCCUAAAUUUAGGGGUUUUUGAUUCUUUAAAAUCAAACCAAAUCUUCUUGAUUCUUUAAUUAUUGUGUUAAAGUCUCUGUCUAUAUACAUCUCUUUACUUGUUAUUUCUGCCGAUUUUGUAUGUUUUACCUAAACUAGGUUUUCGAGUUUUUCUUUCCUUACUAACUCUUAGUUGCUUUCCUUUCUAGUACUUUGACUAAUUAUUGCCAUAUUUGUGUGCUCUAAUUUAGUUCUAUUUAAACCCCUCCCCAUUCCCCUUUAUACUCAGAGUUCGAAACAUUUUCACUACUAUAAACUAUAGACUGUUAUUAUUCUAUCUUUUGAUUCUUGGUUGGCUGGAAGCUAAAGCCAGAAAUCCUCUAUUGUUUGCUUCUAUUGGUGACCAUUGCUACAUUGCUUGAUUCUUUUUGUUUCAACUGAAUUGGUAAGUUAUUUAAUCCUUUAUUCCUUUAUUACUCGUUUAAUAUGUUACUAUUAUUAGACUAGUUAUUUUCUGUAUUUAAGACAUGUUCAACUCAGUGAAUUAAUUAAUGGAAUAUGCUAACUCUGUGUAACUUAGGAUUAUCUUUUAGCAUUAAACAUGUUUUUAAUACCUUUCCUUAAGAACUAGUUAAUUAUGUAUGCCUUAGUAGACUCAUUAGCUUGUUGUUAAACAUGUUGCCAUGUUACUUGUCUGUUUCUGUGCUCACCAUGUUUGGAUACCUUUGUUAAAUUGUUACUGCUAAUUAGUGUUUUCCUGACUUAUCAGCUCCCCUUCGGUGACUUAGCCUGAUAUGAAAUCUCUGUCAUCUUUGCGAAGCAUGAACUGAUCCAUAUUGGUAUGUGACUUUGUUAAAAACUUUAUCAAGUCUGUUUAGUUUCAAAUGUGUUUGUUCUAUGUGUGAUUCUGUCCCUACAUGUACUCUCCAAUCCUAUCCUUAUCUCUUGAAUUCUCAUUCUUUGCUGGCUUAAAGCUAAAACAAUUUAGGUAUUGUCCCUUAGCCUUCCUGUGUAAGCACUGCUCAGGGUUCAUACGAGACCCUCGUGAACUCUAACACACAAGAAUUUGGUCCAUAGUUUUCCUUAAACUGUUCUGAUCAUUACUCUCUAGUGUGAGCACUGCCCGUGGUUCUUGAAGCCCUUGGACACUCUGACACACUAGAAAUUUGGGCUUGGUAUGCUUAUCCUAGAGAUAGAGGUGAUUCAUUCAUUGCUGGUUAGUAUGUAUCAAUGAACAUGGGCUUUUGGAGUUAUUUUGAGUUGAAGGCCUGGCCUGUCCAGUCGUAUUUGGGCCUAUUGCAUUCUUCCUAUAGUUAUAAACCUUGUAAUUUAUUCAUUCGAUUCUGGUCUGUAAUAAUUAUUUGUAAUAACAAUUGGGGCAAUAAUAAAUUGGGAAAUGAGCUUCUUUUUUGAUAUUUUGCAUGAAAUGGAUAGAUAACAUGCCUAUAGGUGUUUACUUUGCGCUAUUGUAUGUUAGAUAACCUGCCUAUAGACAUUACUUUAUUCAAAACAUUCUGCUAUUAUAUGUU
rnacentral:lncRNA from 1 species